rnacentral:lncRNA from 1 species
UUAAUAGAAGAUAUUUUCCAGGGUGUGAAAAUGCAGCUGAGCUAAUACUGUGUUCUUCUGGUCUUCUCAUGUUUUGUUGAAUUACAGGAAAAAUGCAGAAAAUAACAUGGUUUUCCCUCUUGAAAAAAACAUUUCUUAUGAGAGUGAAUGCACCAGGAGGUGAGUAACGAAUGCAGUUCACUAAUAUUGUAGCCUCCUCGGGGGAGGGUCAGGUUGAAGUUUCAGGAAAAGUUAUUUACCGAGAGAGUGGUCAGGCAUUGGAAAAGGGUUCAAAAGAAAACUGGCCCAGCUGGUGUUACUGGGCAGCUACAUUAAACUUCCCAUGGGAUUCAGCUGGAAGGAAUGUGCUGGGCUGACGUAAUUCACUUUUUUCUCCACGGGGUCAUUGUGCACUGGUGCAGGCUGCCUGGGGCAGUGGUCCUGCCACCAAGACUGCUAGAGUGCAAGGAGGGGUUGGAAAAGUGACAUGUGCACUCUGAGUGCAUAUGGAACUAACAAAUAUGCUGUGGAUUGUAAAUGAAGACAUAUGGUUCCUAAAGCCAGUGCAGUGGAGCAGUAGAGCAGAUACAGAUCCAUUUAAUGAUCAAACCUCCAGCAUCACUAUUUUGCAGAGAUUUUCUUCUGAUGUGAACUUUGGCCAUUGUUGUUCUGUGAUAUUCUGCCUUACUGAACAUAUUAAGUUGCUGUCUAUAAUUUUAAGAAGCUUUAAUUUCCCAUAAUUUUUUUCUUCGACUGUCAUAAUAUUACAAAAGUACCAAGUGUAAAAUCUAUACUAAAGUUCAUCAUACAGUACAUUUAAAUAUGAAUGCAAAACGUUGUUUGAGCUUUCCAUUUUUCUGGUAAGAUUUAUACACCCAUUGCAUUAAUAAAACUGGCUCUUUGCAAUGGAGAGAAACUUUU